rnacentral:rRNA from 1 species
AAGGUGGCUUUUGGGCUGUCGCAGAUGGAUGAGCCUGCGUUGGAUUAGCUAGUUGGUGGGGUAAGGGCCUACCAAGGCUACGAUCCAUAGCUGAUUUGAGAGGAUGAUCAGCCACAUUGGGACUGAGACACGGCCCAAACUCCUACGGGAGGCAGCAGUGAGGAAUAUUGGACAAUGGGGGCAACCCUGAUCCAGCAAUGCCAUGUGUGUGAAGAAGGCCUUAGGGUUGUAAAGCACUUUAGUUGGGGAAGAAAGCUUUGAGGUUAAUAGCCUUGAGGAAAAGGACGUUACCCAAAGAAUAAGCACCGGCUAACUCCGUGCCAGCAGCCGCGGUAAUACGGGGGGUGCAAGCGUUAAUCGGAAUUACUGGGCGUAAAGGGUCUGUAGGUGGUUUGUUAAGUCAGAUGUGAAAGCCUAGGGCUCAACCUUGGAACUGCAUUUGAUACUGGUAAACUAGAGUACGGUAGAGGAAUGGGGAAUUUCUGGUGUAGCGGUGAAAUGCGUAGAGAUCAGAAGGAACACCAAUGGCGAAGGCAACAUUCUGGACCGAUACUGACACUGAGGGACGAAAGCGUGGGGAUCAAACAGGAUUAGAUACCCUGGUAGUCCACGCUGUAAACGAUGAGUACUAGCUGUUGGAGUCGGUGUAAAGGCUCUAGUGGCGCAGCUAACGCGAUAAGUACUCCGCCUGGGGACUACGGCCGCAAGGCUAAAACUCAAAGGAAUUGACGGGGACCCGCACAAGCGGUGGAGCAGGUAGUUUAAUUCGAUGCAACGCGAAGAACCUUACCUGGUCUUGACAUCCUGCGAUCUUUCUAGAGAUAGAUUGGUGCCUUCGGGAACGCAGUGACAGGUGCUGCACGGCUGUCGUCAGCUCGUGUUGUGAAAUGUUGGGUUAAGUCCCGCAACGAGCGCAACCCCUAU